AUUAGCUCAGUUGGUAGAGCAUCUGACUUUUAAUCAGAGGGUCGCAGGUUCGAAUCCUGCAU
rnacentral:tRNA from 2 species